rnacentral:rRNA from 1 species
UGAGGAAUCUUGCGCAAUGGGGGAAACCCUGACGCAGCAGCGCCGCGUGAGUGAGGAAGGUCUUCGGAUCGUAAAGCUCUGUCGGGUGGAAAGAAAUGUAUGAGGUUAAUAGCCUGCAUACUUGACGGUACCACCAAAGGAAGCACCGGCUAACUCCGUGCCAGCAGCCGCGGUAAUACGGGGGGUGCAAGCGUUGUUCGGAAUUAUUGGGCGUAAAGAGCGUGUAGGCGGCUUGGCAAGUCAGAUGUGAAAGCCCUGGGCUUAACCCAGGAAGUGCAUUUGAAACUGCUUAGCUAGAGUAAGGGAGAGGGAAGUGGAAUUCCUGGUGUAGAGGUGAAAUUCGUAGAUAGCAGGAGGAACACCGGUGGCGAAGGCGACUUCCUGGCCCGAUACUGACGCUGAGACGCGAGAGCGUGGGUAG